rnacentral:lncRNA from 1 species
GUUGACGUCGGUCUUACCCGAUGUUCCAGAACCGCAUCAUGGUUGUGAUGUUGUCAUUCAUUAUUGUUGUAUCUUGUCUCAGUUCUUGAACUGCAGCGGCAUGGUCCUGGUUCCAUUUUUGUUGCUCUUCCAGGAGUCUUCCAUGUUCUGCUUGCGUGUUUUGGAUGUCGAGGAGGGUGUUGUCGGUACGAGUGAAGAAAGCACCGGCCUCUUGAUAGUAGUCAUUCGUGAAAGCGUAGGAGGCAUCAGAGUAUCAUCCUGCAUCAAAUUGGGGCGGAGGUGUGGAUCCUGAAGCUCCAUAUGGAUCAGUGGAGUACAUGCCCGUAUGAAAAGGCGGGUUUGUCCACUGGUGAUCUUGGCUCUCCGGCCAUGUCUCCUCUGUUG